rnacentral:lncRNA from 1 species
CGCCAGAGAAAUAACUAAUAGCUGUUAAUUAGUCUGUUUGUCUAUUGAAUUAAGCUGCUGGCCAUAUAUAUGUUGGCGCAGCGCCACUUUUAUUUAGUUCGCGUUGACCUCCCAUCGAAUUCGUUCUAAAUAAAUCAAAGCUAAUUCCGGUAACAAAACAUAGAAGGCCGAAUUCCAAAUUUUCCAAUCGAAUCAAAACAAAGAGAAAACAAAAUGAAAGAUCCGAGAUACAUUGAUCGGAAGGAACAAAGUGACGGACCUCUCUUUACGAUCCUGCAAUCCUUGCAAAUAAUUCUUGUAAUGAUUCUCGAUGAACUGCUUGGCGGCAGCAGCUUUCUGCCUGGUGACCGGCGAGGAAACAGACACAUCCGGACCAGAGUCAAGACCACUCCGCUCCUGGCGUAAGUUCAAAGCCCCUAAUCUCACCGUACCAUCACCACCGCCGUCCAUUGCUCGGACGAAUCAAGGUAGCAGGAAAGAUCAAAGAUCGAAUAUGAGCACAGACGAGUGACGACUAGCAAAAGGAAUCAGAAGAACUCCAUCUGGAUUGAUUGAGGAGUAAGCUAUUUACAGCUCACAGCAAGGAACGAGGUGAGAUCUAAGCGGCGGUGUUGUCAGUGUUGUAGAAAAUGACUGAGAGAGAGAGAAGUUGAAGAGGUGAAGAAUUCUAAAGAAAUGAAGCGAAAUGAACUGGCGAGAUUUGUGCGAAAAUAUUGCAAAUUGAGACACGUUCAUUAUUACAAGUAAAACACCAGUGGACAGCCUUUAAUAGUUCAAUUUCCAACGCAGCCAAUCUAGAACGGUGUAAUUCAAAAAGUGGUUUGAGAAGUAGUCCUACCUCUCCGAACGCGCCUUUACCUAUGACAGUCAACUGUUCGAAGUCAUCAAUCCCAACUUUGCGUCUUUGGAGCCUCAUGAACUCAGUUUCUCUCCUUGCCAGGUUCUUCAUCAAUUCCUCCUGGUCCUCAGUUGAUACCUGAGCCUCUUGCGCUCUGCGUUGGAGAGUCCGCCGUCUGGAAACAGAGGGAAUGCAAAACCAUGCUUACAACUUCUAAGAAAGAAACGUAAACUGGAACCCCGCCAGAGAAAUAACUAAUAGCUGUUAAUUAGUCUGUUUGUCUAUUGAAUUAAGCUGCUGGCCAUAUAUAUGUUGGCGCAGCGCCACUUUUAUUUAGUUCGCGUUGACCUCCCAUCGAAUUCGUUCUAAAUAAAUCAAAGCUAAUUCCGGUAACAAAACAUAGAAGGCCGAAUUCCAAAUUUUCCAAUCGAAUCAAAACAAAGAGAAAACAAAAUGAAAGAUCCGAGAUACAUUGAUCGGAAGGAACAAAGUGACGGACCUCUCUUUACGAUCCUGCAAUCCUUGCAAAUAAUUCUUGUAAUGAUUCUCGAUGAACUGCUUGGCGGCAGCAGCUUUCUGCCUGGUGACCGGCGAGGAAACAGACACAUCCGGACCAGAGUCAAGACCACUCCGCUCCUGGCGUAAGUUCAAAGCCCCUAAUCUCACCGUACCAUCACCACCGCCGUCCAUUGCUCGGACGAAUCAAGGUAGCAGGAAAGAUCAAAGAUCGAAUAUGAGCACAGACGAGUGACGACUAGCAAAAGGAAUCAGAAGAACUCCAUCUGGAUUGAUUGAGGAGUAAGCUAUUUACAGCUCACAGCAAGGAACGAGGUGAGAUCUAAGCGGCGGUGUUGUCAGUGUUGUAGAAAAUGACUGAGAGAGAGAGAAGUUGAAGAGGUGAAGAAUUCUAAAGAAAUGAAGCGAAAUGAACUGGCGAGAUUUGUGCGAAAAUAUAUACAGAGAGAAAGUGAGAGAGAAAGAAGGAGAAAGAGAGAGGAGAGAGGCCGCCUGAAGAAGCUGUCUUAUCUGUCAAGAGUUUUGCAUUUGUUUGCUUGCAAUCUCCACUGUCCUGAUUGGAUAUUUUACUUUUCUCUUCUUUUUUCGAGUCCUCUUUUCCAAAAUUUUCCCAACUUCUUCUCUUUUCGGGCUUAGGGGGAUUUUUGUGGAGUGAGAUGGACGUCAU